rnacentral:rRNA from 1 species
UACGUAGGGUGCAAGCGUUAAUCGGAAUUACUGGGCGUAAAGCGUGCGCAGGCGGUUUUGUAAGUCUAUCGUGAAAUCCCCGGGCUUAACCUGGGAAUGGCGAUGGAGACUGCAAGGCUAGAGUUUGGCAGAGGGGGGUAGAAUUCCACGUGUAGCAGUGAAAUGCGUAGAGAUGUGGAGGAACACCGAUGGCGAAGGCAGCCCCCUGGGUCAAAACUGACGCUCAUGCACGAAAGCGUGGGGAGCAAACAGG